UGAACCUGGGGUCCUCGCUGUCUGCCCGAGCUGGUAGCUGCCUGCAAAUGCAUGGCAGAUGUUCAACGUCAGGAAUCAAAACCGAGUUUUCGCACCACGCGGCACAUUCUUCCUCCCGGUCCUCUCGACAGGAUGUGGAACAAUUUCCCUCAUCUGUUGCUUGCUCAGUGGGGUUGGGACUUUGUGGAUUUUACAAUGAUACUUAGAUUCCUCCCACAUCUCUUCCAAGAGGUUAAAAAACAAAGAAAACGUUGAUUCAGUCACAGACGGUUUCUAGUUGAGGAGUUUCUGGCUUUGUGGGGCACACAGGUGAAAUGGGGAAGCGGAAGGAGGAGAGGAACCACCUCAUGGGGUUUCCUGAGUCUUGGCAUCCAAAGAAUGCCCUCCGGCCAGCCCAGGGGUCCUCUAAAUUCUGAAGAAAACGUGACCAAUCUACAAGAUUAAGGAAAAAAGCAAAAGGCGAUCUCUGUUCAUUUGCAAAUUGGACAAAUUCUGAGAAUUACUGCAAUCCCGCACUGGCACGGAGGGCACUCUGGUAGGGGACAGACAAGAGGGGCGCCAUUUCUCGCAACUAUACUCAGUAUGUGAUCAGUGUCCAGUGACACAAUUUGGAAAAUAUGCCUACUGCAACGGUUUCCUUCUGGAUUCCCAGGCUGUCACACUGGGUUCACAGACGCUGUCCUGCGUGGGCUUGGCUCAUCCAGUGUCUCGCACAAGCUGGGUGUCGGCGGGUGUUGGUGAAGGGGACCGAGGCACCCUUUAUUUGUCUUCAUUUGUGCAAGCACGGAACGGGACCGGAAGGCAUCCAACUCGGCACCCCUCCUCCUCGUCCAGGAUUUGAGCCUGGAGAGUCUGGGCCACGACCCUCAUCCGGGUGGGCUCGACUGCUCACCCGUCACUAACAAACAAACAAAAACUAGAAGUAGCUGAGAGCCAGACUUAAAUUCCUACAGGAACAGCCUCUCCGGCUGAGAGCUGCGCAUCCAUAGGGGAGUUCCGGACAGCUUGGAGCGGUGUUUGCAGAGGUCUGAUGAAAAUGCUUUGUGCUCCCGGCAGCACCCAUGACCUCUGUGUUUUCUCCCCUCGUGGGAACGUACCACCCCUGGGAAAGGCUGUGCACUCACCCGCAGUGGUUGAUGCUCAAGCUUGCAAAAAUCCACCAUGGCCUCUGACAGACGCUCAGCCUGAACACCGAGACUUUUCGAACCUGACGUCUCUUGGCUACAAGCUGAGUUCGAGCAUUCCUCACUGAUGUGGUGACUUCUGUCUGCCAGGAGCGUCGCCACAAAGUCUCCUCACAUUGGAAACUCGGGGCCCGGAUUCUGCCUGGUGAAGCUUCCAGUUUUCUAGGGCAUUCGUGGGCUCUCCUCUCGACUUAGCAGGAGACCCGACGCGGAAUCAACCAGAUGAGGCCUAAGAAUGAGUGCUUCUCGCUUCCUCUUGCUAUUUUCUGAUUUUUGGACCAAAUGAGAGGAGUCUCCUCUUCUUCAAAAGGCUUUUUUCUUCACUGAAGGGGUCCAAAGCUGUUGCUAGAAUCAGACCCAGGUUGCAAUGACCGCUGUUAACACGGCCUUAAAUGGAUGUCUAAAUACCGCUUGAGGAAAAAUGGCUUUGGAGUCAGAAAUGGAGCCAACUUGGCUUUCUCAUCAGAGCCAUUUUUUUUUUUUUUAAAUCAGUUACCUAAGCCCUGUGUUUUGCUUUCCUUUCUUCCACACCUCCUUCUAGAAGUUGAAUACGGGGCUCCGGAGCCAGAUGGACGUAGCAUUGGAUCCUGACGUGGUCCUUGUUGGCUUUGGGAUCACUUAAUUAACCUGUGCAAACCUCAGUUUCCUCGUGAGUCACCCGGGGGCAAUACCGAUCCCCCCAGCCUCCCGCCAUGAUGUAGUUCCAAGGGCUAAGAUAAUUUUUGCGUAUGUUUUUGGCACAGUCCAGGCAUGCAGCAGGCAUUCGAUAAAUGCUGACUCCAGGCUAUUUUGGGGAAUGGCACCUAAAUCCACUUUGAAAAACGUGAGGAAUGCCAAGCAAAUUUUGAGGUAUACAGAAAAAUCGCAGUUAGAAUUUAUCAGAAUUAUUUCUCACUGUACAAAACAACAAAGUUGUUGUUGGAUAACCCAAAACUCCGGUUAUCCAGAAUCAUAAAUAAACUCUUCUGGAAAAGUGAUUUCUGUCGGACGGUGGAGAUUUUAACGCUUUCCAUUUAAAUUUAAAUUUGAAUACUUUCUGGGUGACAAUCUUUUUGAAAUACACUAUGUCAGGUAAAGUUUCCAGGACAGAAUUCAUCAGUUUCCAUCCAUCCCACGUUGUCAUUGUCUCCAUCAAUUUUACCGUCCCGUGUUUUCGAUGGAGAUGACAUGGGAUAUGGGGCUUGCGGUAAGACCGACUUGUCUCCCUGCUUUUCCGUGCAGUGAAUGCCUCGCACUCUGCCCCGAGGGUGGAGGGGGGCUCCUGGCUCUGCCUUCAGACUCCCUUCUCACUCUCCUGAAAGAUGCAGACGUGCCCCUGGCCUGCCUCCAAUGCCUGUGACCCAUACAGGACAGGGGUGUGCCGUGUGCGUCUGGAGAGGUAGCAAUCCUAUUUGGAUCUCCGGGGGGCCUUCUUCCAGGCUUGGGGACAUUGCAGAACUUUGGGGGAUGUGAGGGUGGAGGUCUCUGGGCCACCGAGGUUUCCCUUUCUUCUCUUGCACCAUUGUUAACCUUGUACUUCCCAGGGGGAAGACUGUUUGCCCUUAACGAGGGCAAGCUGAAAGUGGAAGAAUAAAGCCAGGACAUAAAGUGUUCCGGAUGUCCAACCUCUCACUUGUCUGUGGUAAGAGCUCUAUAGGUAGAAGAACGUUACUUUGGCUCACCGACCCUACCACUUGACCAAAGGGCAACAGUCCCGAGAAUUUCAGAUGAUUCCUCCCAAAGCGCAGCCAGGGGAAGGCCAGGACAUGCCUGAGUCAGCCCCGUUCUUUGCCCAGAGUUCUUUCGGCUCCGCACGUUGGUCAGACGCAAGGAACGUUCAGGAAAAGUGACCAGAAUAGCAUCAACACUUUGUUCUUAAAAUAAGAUCACGCAUAUAAUUAUUGGAGACUUUCUGCAUGCAUUUGAUUUUCUAUCCCUAGAAUUGCCCGAAUAGUAGCUUUUAAUUAAAUAUUAAAUGCUAAGUAUUUGAAGCAUGAGUAACUUCCUCAUAUACAAAAAAGAAGCUUUGCCAGGAAAAAACCGUCUCUCUCCCCACCCCCCUCCCCUCUCAAAUAUCCCUACUCUCUUGCAAUUAGAGUAAUGUAGAAGCCGCAAGUUGGGUUGUUGGAUUC